CCGGUAUUUGUGAAAGGAGGCUUAUCUGGCAAAAGCCUAUCUUCAGGCAGGUUUGCCAUCUUUUGCUCACCAACCUUUCCAUUAAUCCUGCGACACACUGUGCAUUUGUUGAUUAUCUUUCGAAUUGCAGAAUUUGCUUUUGGGAUCCAGUACCUGCACCUCAGUUGUGCCAAGACAUAACUGCGUCCGCAGUGUCCUGUUCUUUGGUGUAUGUCUCUCAAAAUCAAUGUAGCAACUCCACUGUGCUUUGAAAUAAUUGCUGGAUGUUUAGCGUUUUCUGGCAUGGCAGACUUGUUGAGUCUUCCGCCAACCCUUAACGUGCCAUCUUGAAGAAUCGGAUCCAAUUUAAACAGCUGACUGCUCUGACUGAGCUGUUUACCUUUCUCCAGUACUUUGAUUUCUUCUCCAAACUGCUGUCUUUGACUGAAUUUGAUUAUUUCCGAUUCUGCGACAACCAGAUCAUCCAAAGUAAAUGAUUUUUUUGUUGCUUUGAAUUUCUUCAUUUGUUGCUCUAAUUUUGAUCUUUCUUUUUCAGGGUCUAUUUCAGUUUCCAUGAUUUUUUUUGAUAUUUCCUUUCUUUCCUCUUUUAGUUUCCACAGAUUUUCCUUCACCUUUAAAAUCCAGGCCACUGCUCUUUUUAGUUUAUGCCAGUCUGAGUAAUAGCUGAUCAGUUUGUCUAUUGGUUCCAUGUUUUGUUCAACUUUGAUCAUGUUGACUGUAGCUCCAUUCUUGACUUCCGGAUCAUUUUGAAGGCUUUCCUUCCUUCGCACAGGUUGUUCCGACCAAUCACAUUCCUUGUCCAGCAAGAAGUCCGGCCCAUUGAUCCAGGUUCCUCCUUGCAUGAAACUUUUAGCUUUCAGGCCCCUGCUGGCUUGAUCUGCAGGAUUUUCCGUUGUUCUGACGUACUUCCAUUGUGAUGGCUUGGUUGCCUCUCGGAUCAACGAGAUUCUGUUCGCAACAAAAGUUUUGAAACGAGCAGUUUCACUGUCAAUAUAUCGGAGCACAGUAGUACUGUCUGUCCAAAAAAUAGAUUGCUGCAAUGGAACUUGAAGCUCUUGAUGUAACAUUUUGUCUAUUUUAACAGCGACAACUGCUGCGGUCAACUCGAGUCUGGGAAUGGUGACUAGUUUGAGUGGAGCCACUCUUGCCUUCCCCAUGAGGAAUGCACAAUGUUUCUCACCUUGCCUAUUCUCUAGCAGCAGAUAAGACACAGUGCCGUAUGCUGACUCAGAAGCGUCUGAAAAAUGAUGUAACUGUGCUACUGCAGUGCAUCCAAAAUCUGUAGGCUUCAAACACCUCCUCACAUGGAAAUUAGAGAGAUGACUGACAUCUUCAAUCCAUCUUUUCCAAACUUCAGCAUGUUUUUUGCCAAUGUUCUCAUCCCAUCCAUAUUGUUCUUUACAAAGAUCUUUCAGCAGGAGUUUAGCGGGCAAGAUGACCGGAGCCAGAAAGCCAAGGGGGUCAUAGAUGGAAUUCACGACUGAUAAAAUGCCUCUUCUGGUCAUCGGCUUGUCUUGCAGCUUUAUACUGUAGGUGAAAGUAUCAGUUUCUGUGUCCCACUGUACACCGAGAGUCCUCUCGACUGUCAAAGCGUCAUGUCUCAGAUCCAGGUCCUUCACUUCGCUGGCUCUAUGUACUUCAGGGAUUGUCAUUAACACCUUCCUGCUAUUGCUCACCCACUUUGUUAGAGUGAAGCCUCCACUGGCACACAGGGUACGAAGAUCUUUAGCCAGGGUCACCGCAUCUUCUUCUUUAGCUACACUCUUCAAACAAUCAUCUACGUAGAAGUUGCGCAGAACUGUCUGGACAGUUUCUGGAGAUACAUCAGCCUUGUGAUCUUCAGCAGUUCUUUUUAGUGCAUAUGAGGCAACACUUGGUGAAGAAGUGGCUCCGAAGAGGUGCACAGUCAUUCGGAAUUCCUCCAUAGGUUCGUUCAACUUGCCGUUGGGCCACCAAAGAAAACGGAGUAGGUCUGCGUCACGUUCUGGCACCUUGACCUGAUAAAACAUCGACUCGAUGUCCGCCAUUAUAGCUACUGGCUCCUCACGAAAUCUUAAAAGCACACCAACUAACGUGUUGGUCAAGUCAGGUCCUUGGAGCAGUUCACUAUUCAGAGACCUAUCUUGAAACGAAGCUGUGCAGUCGAAGACCACCCGCAACUUUUUUUUCUUCGGGUGAUACACCCCAUGAUGCGGUAUGUAAAACAGCCUGUUGUCGUCACGUUUCAGCUGUUGGACUGGAACUUGAACAGCGUAACCUUUGUCAAUGAUGGUCUCCAUGAAGCUCUUGUACUCUUCAAAAAAUUCAGGAUUCUUCUUGAACUUUCUAAGCAAACAGGCUAUGCGCUGUUCCGCCACACAACGGUUAUUAGGCAUUUGGAGCUUCUCAUUCCUUAAUGGCAGUCCAAUGCUGUAAUGCCCAUUCUCAAAAACUGUGGUUUUCUGCACAGACUGCAUAAACUGUUUGUCUUCACAAGACAUCUCCUCUCGGUCAUCGUAGUUACGCUCUGAAAAAUCAGUGUUAUACUGUUGGACCAGCAGCUUCUCAAUCUCCAUCACAGAAAUUCUAUUUACUGAAAAAGUAGGCGUUUUAUUCAUUGCAUCGUUCAGUUCUUUUCUUACAGGCCCAUUCACAACCCAGCCAAUGGCAGUCUUCACAGCAUAAGGGCCUCCAUCCUUGGCAUUGAUAACAUGCCAUGGUUCCAUUGCUCUUGAACAGUUAGCUCCAAUAAGCAGGCCUACAUCCGCUUCUAUCUCUGGCAAGCGUACUUCAUUGAGAUAAGACCACUUCUGAAUAUCUGACUUUUUAGGUAUGUUUUUGAUGUGAACAGGUAUGUUGCUAUGAGUAAACACCUUAGGUAGCUCAAUGAACUUGGUGUCUUCCAGCCCGCACACUUCUAAGUCUGAUAUAACGAAACUGUUCAUGAGCUUCUGUUCUCCAGGUUUGUCUUGACCCAUAGUGCUAAGAAGUAUUCGUGUCGGUUUCCCUUUAAUGUUUAGUUUCUUUUGCAGGUCUUCUGUGCAGAACGUUGCUGUGCUUCCCGGGUCCAGAAAGGCCCCCCAUGAGGCUACAGGACUCUUGCAGAAUAGAAACUUGAGCACAAGAUACUUCACUUCCAUGACGAGCAUCUUUCUUUUCAGAAUUUGCUAAGAUGACCCGGAACUAAGCAUCCAAAACACAAGCCCUUCUGUUUUAAGAAUUCCACACGUUCCUUAUGUGGUUGGUGUUUGAUUUUGCUGCAUGAGGCAAGGGUAUGUGAUUGCUGACAGUACAAACACGGCUUCUCAAAGGCACUCACAGUUUUACUUGAAUUUGCUGGUUUAACAGGCAUUUCUUGAGGCCCUUUGCUUUCGGUGAAAACAUUUGUUGCGAAACUGCUUCCGCGGACCUCUUUUCUUCCAUGAUACUUUUCUUUUUGGUCAGUCUUUCCACUUGAGAUUAUGCGGCUGUCUGAGAUAUUACCAAAGAGGGGAUCCAUCGCUAUUCUAGCUUGGCGGUCUAUGUAACUCACCAAAUCAGCAAACUUUGCUCUCCUGCCUCUUUGCUCUUUUAUGUCAUAAGCUUCAGCACGCCAACGUUCUUUCAAUUUAUAUGGUAACUUAGACACCACUGUCCGUAAAUUGGUUGGAUUAUCCAUCUCCUCUAAGAAUUCGAUGUCUUCCAUAGUAUUGCGACAUCCAAUCAAAAACAUUGCAUAGGCGCUUAACGCUUUCCCAUCAUCAGAUUUCACUUGAGGCCAUUUGAGUGCUUUGUCAAUGUACGCACUGGCAAUCCGUAAUUCAUCCCCAUAGUGCUUAUGAAGCAGUCGCUUCGCCUCGCAGUAGCCUUUGUUUGGAGUCAUAUGAGCACAGCUGCGAACAAGCUCUUGAGGUUCACCAGCCGUAAAUUGUUCCAAGAAGUACAAUUUGUCUUGAU
ensembl:lncRNA